GCCGCCCGAUCUCGGGACCUAUUGGCUAUAUAGCAUAUAGCUUAUAGCUUGUAUCGCAUGGCGUAGGUGGUGUGGUUGGCAAAACGAGAGGGGAAGAGAGAGAGAGAGAGCGGCGAGUAAGGCAGCCGUCCUGCUGUUACUGCCACUGUGGCGUAUACGUCAUUUGUAUCUGAUGGGUUAACAGAGCGCAUCCCAAGGUUUUGCGGUGGGCAAAAUGUUUGCCCGAUUUUGGCAUACGCAAGUGACCAAGUGGGAUUGGGUGGAUGGUAUGCAAACCCACCUAUAAGGUCAGAGAUCAUUGGGAGCCAUUUUCAUGUGCAAAUUCCUCGGCGGAUUUUUGUGCGCAGUUAAUAUUAGUUUGUUUUUGUUUGCUCUUAUCUUUGUUCCGCAAAUGAUAACAUAUCUAAAUAUGUGUGAUAAUUGAACCCAAUUUGAGUUCAAGGCCUUUGGCCAAUAAUCAAAUAAAUUUAAUUGGGCCAUGUCUUUUUUUGCCAAAUCAGUGCGAAAUUUGCAUACCAUCCAAAUAUAUAUUUUUUGAGCAGUCUUGUAUCUUUUAGAUUUUAUAUCUCAUUGUCAGUCGUUUGGGGUAUGCGAUCAUCGCCAAUAUGUCUGCCAUUUCACUUAUUUUCGAUCUGGGACUUCUGCUCUUUGCAUACGAGUAAUUAUCAUUGGGAGCACUUGCAAUGCCAAAUAGACCGCAUCAUUCCAGUCAACAGAGCUUCGUCAUCCAGGGGAUGAUCGAAUUACGCCUUACGACGAAAACAAAACAAACUAUGCCGUCAACCUUUAUUUACUUAUCGAUGGGUUCUCUUAGCCGGAAGUAAAAUUUGAAUCACCCAUAAUGCUUUAAGCAUUUCCCUUUUGAUUGUAAGCGAUAGAGUGAAUCAUAAAUAACUUCUCGAUAAACUAAGCAAUCUGAAAAAAAAUAGGAAAGCUAAUUAAAAGCAUGUCUCCAUCGCCGAAUGGGCAACACAAAUCAGACUGCGAUGUGUGAAAUAAAGCCAUCAGACGACAUUAAGUCGCCCUGUCGCCCGACGCGAUUUGCAUGACAUUAACUUCGGUUUUAUGAGCGAUAUCUGUCCGAAAACUGCCGGCCAAAUUACGAUCUGUGGCCGAAAGCGGACAAGAAACCACAAAGAGAUUAAUGGAGACCGGAGCGAAUGAUUUGCCUAAUGGCCAAGUCGAAAAACAGGCGGUAAUCUGUUCCUUUCUCCCUGUGCAUUCGUUCACCACAUGGAUGAGCUUACACCAAAGGCGGAUAAGGCAGAUCAUAUAACUAAAUAAUUUAUCUUGACCUAAUUGAUUGCAAAUGCACUAUUUACUUCCUUAAGGCAUGAGUAAUUGGUGAAUCUGCUACUUGCUUGUGCAUCUAAGUUUGCUAAUCGCUGACAACACGACAACGUCGUCGAAUUCGGAAUGCAAUUAAAGCGAACUAUGCAUCAACGUGAGGAAUUGAUGACAUAGUUGAUCUGGCGGGUAAAUGAAGUCAUUAAUGUGUCGUCGACUGACUGCCUUAUCAUCGCGAAUGCCUGACUAAAACUGGCCAAUCAAUUAGCGGGUAUUUAUACAAACAUAAUUAUGCCAUUAUUUAAUUGGCCCCUGAUUAGCAUUAUUUCGAGUUACUGGCUAUGCGGUGCUAUGGCAUUUUAUUGGUAUUCCGGCCGUAUAGAUUGGUGGCAUUCCAUGGCGCUGAAGUCACAAUAUGCUGUGCUAAAUUGUUGGACACAAGUACCUGUAGUGGGAACAGGCGGAAGAGACGAAAGAGGCGUAUUCUCGAUACACGAAACUAGUUCAAGAACAAGCCAAUCCAAUGGCAAUCCCACCUGUCAUGUAACUUCCUUAUCGCGAAUGUUAUCGACGCGAUUUACAUUGUUCAAUUUGGUGGACAGAUUCGCGUUAUUUCGUCAUAGCGCCAACUGAUAAGUUCGCUUGGCUUGGCGUUAUAAAAGCGGUUUCCCCCCAAAUAAAUGCCUGUUUAUCGUCUAGGAAGUGGUGAGUGGAAUUUAAAUCAGCUCUGACUGUCUCGAAUUUGAAAGGAAUUUUUUCGAAUUUGUAAAUAUUUUUUUGAAGAAAUUUCUAUCGGACUGCGAAGCAAUCUAUUUUCAGAAAUUAAUAACUGUGGUUAAUCGUUGCCAAGUCGAAUGGAUUGCAAGGCAAGGCAAAUUCAACGAAGAAUGCAUAAAUAUUUGCCAGAAUUCAUUGAGAGUUGCCAAGGCAUUUUCAACCAUCCAUAAUCAAUUUACUGAUCAUUAAAAAGAGUAUUUAUUUGCUCAACUCUUUAACGGUCUGUCUUUGUUUAUGUGCAAUUGCGAAUGGGAAUUUUGAACUUGUUGAUCAAGCAAUUAAUGUAGUAUACACCAGCAGGAAUUUUGGCUUUCUCCUUGGCAUUUAAGGUCACCAGCUGGAACCGAAACUGCAACCUUGGGCGAAUCGAUUGGGUGAGAAUUUCGGCAUGAUUGCAGUGCGUAUGGUUCCCCAGAACUUUCGUCUAGGUAUGCCAGGAAUUUGUAUCAAUAAAUCGAACUGCGCCUUCAUAUAUGUAUGUCUUCAAGAUCGAGGUCACCCAGUUUGGCACGCAAUAUUCGCAUCAGUUCCAUUUUGGGUGGAAUGUUGGUCAAAUAGUGACGAAAUACCACCGAAUUGAAUUAAUUUCAUUUGUCAAUUGGGUCCAUUUCUCGGUCGGCAGCCACAAACGAGAAGAGAACACGACCCAAUGGAGGUCACUUUUUUUUCUUUUGGCAUAUUUGUGUUUAAUGUCUCAAAUUGUCGAUUCGUUUCAAUUACACUCCACUUGUGGGGCAUCGAGUGCAGGGCACUCUACUUGCUUUCAUGCAAUUUACAUACUUUCUGCUCGCCAGUCUGACAUUGAAAGAGAAUUAUUAUGUUAACAAUUAAGCAAACGGAAUAAAAGAUACAAAAAUGCGGCGACAGAGGUGUCAGGCAUAUUAAAUGCGGCAA